rnacentral:rRNA from 1 species
AUUGAACGCUGGCGGCAGGCCUAACACAUGCAAGUCGAGCGGAUGAAGGGAGCUUGCUCCUGGAUUCAGCGGCGGACGGGUGGGUAAUGCCUAGGAAUCUGCCUGGUUGUGGGGGAUAACGUCCGGAAACGGGCGCUUAUACCGCAUACGUCCUGAGGGAGAAAGUGGGGGAUCUUCGGACCUCACGCUAUCAGAUGAGCCUAGGUCGGAUUAGCUAGUUGGUGGGGUAAAGGCCUACCAAGGCGACGAUCCGUAACUGGUCUGAGAGGAUGAUCAGGCACACUGGAACUGAGACACGGUCCAGACUCCUACGGGAGGCAGCAGUGGGGAAUAUUGGACAAUGGGCGAAAGCCUGAUCCAGCCAUGCCGCGUGUGUGAAGAAGGUCUUCGGAUUGUAAAGCACUUUAAGUUGGGAGGAAGGGCAGUAAGUUAAUACCUUGCUGUUUUGACGUUACCAACAGAAUAAGCACCGGCUAACUUCGUG